rnacentral:rRNA from 1 species
ACGGAAGGCAGCAGUGGGGAAUAUUGCACAAUGGGGGAAACCCUGAUGCAGCGACGCCGCGUGAGUGAAGAAGUUAUUCGUAAUGUAAAGCUCUAUCAGCAGGGAAGAAAAUGACGGUACCUGACUAAGAAGCCCCGGCUAACUACGUGCCAGCAGCCGCGGUAAUACGUAGGGGGCAAGCGUUAUCCGGAUUUACUGGGUGUAAAGGGAGCGUAGACGGUUGCGUAAGUCUGAUGUGAAAGGCAGGGGCUCAACUCCUGGACUGCAUUGGAAACUAUGUAACUAGAGUGCCGGAGAGGUAAGCGGAAUUCCUAGUGUAGCGGUGAAAUGCGUAGAUAUUAGGAGGAACACCAGUGGCGAAGGCGGCUUACUGGACGGUAACUGACGUUGAGGCUCGAAAGCGUGGGGAGCAAACAGGAUUAGAUACCCUGGUA